AGGAAUGAUUUUAAAUCAAUUCCCAUCAACUUGUACCUUGUAGCUACUCCCCAAUUGAAUUAAAAAAUAAGUAAUAGGAUGUACUUGAAGCUGGAAAUGUGGCAUCGAUUUGUGUGUCUAGGAAUUAAGACUCGCCUUGAUAACUGGUUUCACUAUAAAAGGAGUGACUGUAUCCAUUACCCACAAAUUUAAUCAUACCAUCAUUUGAGCUAAAUUAAUUCAGAAAUGGGGUUGCCAGACUUCCAUCAACUUGCAGGGAUGUGUGACUGAACAAAGAUUUUAGAUAUGUGGUAGACAACAAAGCUUGAACAAGUGAUUUAUUGAAUUUUUUUGGGUCCUUAUUUGGAGGCUUGGGAAGUGAGCCUUCAAAAUGAUGUGUAAUGAAAUAUCUCUCAAGAUAAUUAAGCAUAUGUGGACUUAUUAAGCCUUGCCCAUGUCUUGGGCCUGUAAAUGGAGAUGGCUCUGCUUUAUCUUGCCCAAAACCCCAUGUCAUCUUCUUUCUUAGGAUGCUGAUAGAGUGAGAGUACUGCGUAUAUGGCUUCAAUGUGAAAGGUUCACCCCUUUCUUUACCCGCUUUUAUUCUCGGAAGCCAUUGAAAUAGUAUCCAUGAUAGCGAAAAUUCAAAAUCUCCAUCAUCGAUGCUACCCACGACACCUUGUUACUGUAUGCUUGAAAUCAAAACUCGCAAUCCAUUUGUAUUACUAUGGAUACGAAAUCGCUGCCAUACUUGGUCACCAAUCCUAUAUGAUGAAUGUCGCCCAAAUGUGCAGAAGCAGUUUCAACCAGUUUCCUGCCGUAAGUCUGCAAUAACUCAAACGUGAACUAGUCCCAAGUAAGAAGAGGUUAUCAUCGACAAAGCUCGCGAAACCAAUCAAGGAAAGGUCCUACUUAUAAAAUUCUCUGAAUACCCUAUUAGAAAUGGUAUGCCUACUUAUGUAGCAUUAGCACUACCAUUAUUCCCAUGUGAGUCAGCACCUGAGAAUAUCUCCAACGAACUGAUGUGCUCUCCUAUGUUGUCUUUAUUUU
rnacentral:misc_RNA from 1 species